rnacentral:rRNA from 1 species
AUGCUUAACACAUGCAAGUCGAACGGCAGCGCGGGGAGCUUGCUCCCUGGCGGCGAGUGGCGGACGGGUGAGUAACACGUAGGAAUCUACCUUAUAGUGGGGGAUAACCCGGGGAAACUCGGGCUAAUACCGCAUAAUCUCUUCGGAGCAAAGCGGGGGAUCUUCGGACCUCGUGCUAUAAGAUGAGCCUGCGUCGGAUUAGCUAGUUGGUAGGGCAAUGGCCUACCAAGGCGACGAUCCGUAGCUGGUCUGAGAGGACGAUCAGCCACACUGGGACUGAGACACGGCCCAGACUCCUACGGGAGGCAGCAGUGGGGAAUAUUGGACAAUGGGGGAAACCCUGAUCCAGCAAU